GGUAGCUUCCACAAAGAGCAAUUUACUGCCAAUGGAAUUAAAUGUGUGGCUAUAACAUCAAACAACCAGAAUUUAAGAAUUAUUAUAGAAUAGAAUAAAGUGAGGGUCUGAAGAAUUAUCAAUAAAGCAUGAUCCUUUCUAGGAGAUUAGAAAGAAUCCUGAUUUUUUGCUUCUUAUCAACAAUGUAGAACUUUCUUCUGGUUCUUUCCUUGUACAAGAGAACCCUGGGCUUUAGCUGAACACAUAGCUACCCAACUAAAGUGUCUUUUGCAGCUAGAAAUGGCCAUGUGAUCAAGUUUGGAGGAACUAGAGGGGUUGGCAAGUGAUGAGUGUGACUUUGGACCACCUCCUUGAAGAUGCACCUGCUUCCCAGGAUUUCUUUCCCACUUCCCACAGGCGGGAGAGUGGGCACCCAGGCUUUAGUCACAACCACCAAGAUGACCCUAUGGGGGAGGUGCCAAGGAGAGAAGAUGGACCUCUUGGAGAGGAGUAGCCACAUCUCCAGCUAUGGACUGCUGACAUAAGUACUAUUUAGAGAGAGAAAAAUAAACUAUCCUGUGUAAGUCAGCCCA